GAUGAACGCUGGCGGCGUGCCUAAUACAUGCAAGUCGAGCGAACAGACGAGGAGCUUGCUCCUCUGACGUUAGCGGCGGACGGGUGAGUAACACGUGGAUAACCUACCUAUAAGACUGGGAUAACUUCGGGAAACCGGAGCUAAUACCGGAUAAUAUAUUGAACCGCAUGGUUCAAUAGUGAAAGACGGUUUUGCUGUCACUUAUAGAUGGAUCCGCGCCGCAUUAGCUAGUUGGUAAGGUAACGGCUUACCAAGGCGACGAUGCGUAGCCGACCUGAGAGGGUGGUCGGCCACACGGGAACAGAGAAUCCGUCCAGACUCCUACGGGAGGCAGCAGUAGGGAAUCUUCCGCAAUGGGGGAAAGCCUGACGGAGCAACGCCGCGUGAGGGAUGAAGGUCUUCGGAUCGUAAAACUCUGUUAUUAGGGAAGAACAAAUGUGUAAGUAACUAUGCACGUCUUGAUGGUACCUAAUCAGAAAGCCACGGCUAACUACGUG
rnacentral:rRNA from 1 species